rnacentral:rRNA from 1 species
AUUGAACGCUGGCGGUAUGCUUAACACAUGCAAGUCGAACGGCAGCGCGCUUGUUCCUUCGGGAACGGGUGGCGGCGAGUGGCGGACGGGUGAGUAAUGCGUAGGAAUCUACUUCAGAGUGGGGGAUAACCCGAGGAAACUCGGGCUAAUACCGCAUACGCUCUACGGAGUAAAGCUGGGGACCGCUUCGGUGGCCUGGCGCUUUGAAAUGAGCCUACGUCAGAUUAGCUUGUUGGUGGGGUAAUGGCCUACCAAGGCAACGAUCUGUAGCUGGUCUGAGAGGACGAUCAGCCACACUGGGACUGAGACACGGCCCAGACUCCUACGGGAGGCAGCAGUGGGGAAUAUUGGACAAUGGGCGAAAGCCUGAUCCAGCAAUACCGCGUGUGUGAAGAAGGCCUUCGGGUUGUAAAGCACUUUCAGUAGAGAAGAAAUGCUCAAGGUUAAUACCCUUGAGAGCUGACUUAACCUACAGAAGAAGCACCGGCUAACUCUGUGCCAGCCGCCGCGGUAACAC